rnacentral:rRNA from 1 species
AGGACGAACGCUGGCGGCGUGCUUAACACAUGCAAGUCGAGCGGUAAGGCCCUUUCGGGGGUACACGAGCGGCGAACGGGUGAGUAACACGUGGGUGACCUGCCCUUAGCUCUGGGAUAAGCCUGGGAAACUGGGUCUAAUACCGGAUAUGACCUCGCGAUGCAUGUCGUGGGGUGGAAAGCCUUGUGCGGCUAGGGAUGGGCCCGCGGCCUAUCAGCUUGUUGGCGGGGUAAUGGCCCACCAAGACUGUGAUCGGUA